GAUGAAGAACGUAGCGAAAUGCGAUAAGUAAUGUGAAUUGCAGAAUUCAGUGAAUCAUCGAGUCUUUGAACGCACAUUGCGCCCCCUGGUAUUCCGGGGGGCAUGCCUGUCCGAGCGUCAUUGCCGCCCUCAAGCACGGCUUGUGUGUUGGGCCCCCGCCCCCCGGCUUCGGGGGGCGGGCCCGAAAGGCAGCGGCGGCACCGCGUCCGGUCCUCGAGCGUAUGGGGCUUCGUCACCCGCUCUGUAGGCCCGGCCGGCGCCCGCCGGCGACCCCAAUCAAUCUUUCCAGGUUGACCUCGGAUCAGGUAGGGAUACCCGCUGAACUUAAGCAUAUCAUUAAGCGGAGGA
rnacentral:misc_RNA from 1 species